CUACAAGCCCGAUCCAUCGCGGCGUUCGCGUCGAGGAAAGUCCGGACAGCACAGAGCAGUUUACCGGCGAACAACCGGGUUUCAAAAAUCAUUUUUUGAAAACAGACAGCGCCACAGAAAAUAACCGCUGAAUUUUUUCAGUAAGGAUGAAAACGUGCGGUAAGAGCGCACGGCAAAGUGCAGCAAUGCACUUUGCGGGCAAGCCUUAAACGCUGCAAUGCCACGUAUAGUUGUGUUUGAGAACGGCUCGUUCAAAACUUCGGUUACACAACAGGGUAGGCAGCUACACCGCAACAGUAAUGUUGCGGGCAGAUAAAUGAUGGUUUAGAAACAGAAUCCGGCUUAUGAGGCUUGUAGCAUU
rnacentral:RNase_P_RNA from 2 species